UACGGAGGGGGCCAGCGUUGUUCGGAGUUACUGGGCGUAAAGAGUGCGUAGGUGGUGCCCUAAGUCUGUUGUGAAAUCUCCCGGCUUAACUGGGAGGGUGCGGUGGAAACUGGGGUGCUUGAGUGUGGGAGAGGUAAGCGGAAUUCCUGGUGUAGCGGUGAAAUGCGUAGAUAUCAGGAGGAACACCGGUGGUGUAGACGGCUUACUGGACCACGACUGACACUGAGGCACGAAAGCGUGGGUAGCAAACAGG
rnacentral:rRNA from 1 species